GGAGAAGUAGCUCAGCUUGGUAGAGCACUUGACUUGGGCUCAAGCGGUCGCAGGUUCGAAUCCUGUCUUCUUCACCA
rnacentral:tRNA from 21 species